CCUACGGGUGGCAGCAGUGGGGACUAUUGGUCAAUGGACGCAAGUCUGACCCAGCAACGCCGCGUGAAGGAAGAAGGCUUUCGGGUUGUAAACUUCUUUUUAGGGGGAAGAGCAGAAGACGGUACCCCUUGACUAAGCCACUGCUAACUACGUGACAGAAGCCGCGGUAAUACGUAGGGGGCACGCUUUGUCCGGAUGUACUGGGUGUAAAGGGCGUGCAGCCGGAGAGAUAAUUCAGAUGUGAAAUCCACGGGCUCAAACCGUGAACUGCCUUUGAAACUGUUUCCCUUGAGUGUAGGAGAGGUAAGCGGAAUGUCUGGUGUAGCGGUGAAAUGCGUAGAUAUUAGGAAGAACCCCAGUGGCGAAGGCGGAUUACUGGCUGCCAACUGACGGUGAGGCGCGAAAGCGUGGGGAGCGAACAGGAUUAGAUACCCGUGUAGUC
rnacentral:rRNA from 1 species